UGAACGUUUGCCGUGGUGGUCACGCACCUGGUGCGCGCACUGAACGGUUGGCGGGGUGGUCACGCACCUGGUGCGCGCGCUGAACGGUUGGCGGGGUGGUCACGCACCUGGUGCGCGCGCUGAACGGUUGGCGGGGCGAGAACAUCAAGACCGAGAGGUUUGAUCAGAUGUUACAGGAUAGCUGCAGCUCCUCAAAGUAAAUAUGAAAUACCUGUGGUUAUUAAUUGUUCUUGUCGGCAUCAUCAGACUGGGGAGUAGUCUGCGGUGCUAUCAGAAUAGCCUAACUCCUUUAAAUUGCAAGAUGAAAGAAAUAACUUGUAACAGGACUGAAUGGUGCUUCAGAAGAACUGGUAAAAUAAAAUAAAGGUUUCAGUGAACUCAGUGAGUGUGGUGAACUACAUAUACCUGUCUGGACACACUCCCCUCCUGCUGACUGCUCCUGUGGCUCCUCCCACAGACCCCUGUAUAAAGGCGAUUGGAAGCACUGCUCCUCCCUCAGUCUCCAGGAUGUUGUGUGAUGGUCUCUUGCUGCUGACGGUGCUUUCUUCCAGCUAAUAAAUGUCUAUCUCGACUCACGUCUCCGAGAGUUAUUGAUGGUGCAUCAGUGAGAUUCAGGGCAGCAUGGGAAAUAGGGUCCCGUGAGUUUAAAGGUUGAGCAGGACAGGUGAGUUUAAAGGGAAUGCUAGAAACAGUUGCCAAACCAUCAGGAACUCUGAACAAGAAAUGAUGGAUUAUCAGGGUUUUACAAUAUCCUGCUUCCACUGAGGUAUGUGCUUCACAAUGUUUUUCUUAAAUGCUGGCCUUGCCAAGAAAGUCCAGAUGUUGAAAAAAAUGACAAUUAUUUGGUUAAAAAAGAACAAAUGAUACAGGGCACACCAGAUAGGCAAGAAGUUUCAGUUUGUUCCUUUCCUGUAUGUGAUCUAUUCUUUGGAGUCGGGACCAGGAAAGGAGUAACCAGAAAUGAAAUUUAAAGUGAUCAGUCACUAGAGGAUGUGGAUGUGGUGAGGACCUACAAGUACCUGGUGGUGUACAUGGAUGACAGACUUGAAUGGAGUACCAACACAGAGGCUGUAUACAAGAAGGGCCAGAGUUGCCUCUCCUUCCUGAGGAGACUGAUGUCCUUCGGAGUAUGCGGGCCUCUCCUUCACAUGUUCUACCAGUUUGUUGUUGCCAGUGCAAUCUUCUAUGUGGUGGGUUUCUGGGGCAAUGACAUCAACACUGAUGAUGCCAACAGGCUCAAUAAACUGGUUAGAAAGACUGGUUCUGUUGUAGGAGUCAAACUGGACACACUAGAGGUUGUGGUAGAGCAAGGGACCGUACAGAAGAUCCUGACAAUUCUGGACAAUGUUUCUUGCCCUCUGUAUACCACCUUGGGUGAACAGAGGAGCACUUUUAGUAACAAACUAAAACCACUGUGCUACUCCAAAGAGUGCUAGGUGAGGUCAUUCUUACCCUCUGGCAUUAGGCUCUUUCAUGAGUUAACCUGUAGCUGGGAAGUGCUGACCCCCCUCCUGUUAGACUGUUUGAGGUAACUUAUUGUGUAUCCUCUUCUAAUAUUUAUAUCUGUGUACUUGUAAUGCUACUGUGACACUCUUAUUUCCUUUGGGAUCAAGGAAGUAUCUAUCUCUUAUCAGAUGUAGGGAAAAAGACUUUAUGACUGUUCAUUAAGAACUGUGUGCAAUACACACAAAAUGCUGUAGGAUCUCCACAGGUCAGGCACAUCUUUAGAGAGGAAUAAACAGUCAACGGUUUGGGCCCAGAACCUUCAUCAGGACUGUGAAGGUCUUGGCCUGAACUGUUACUAUUAUGUUCCUUGCCCUAGAAGCUGCCUGACAUGCUGAAUUUCUCUGUGUGCUUUGUGUUUUACUCUAGAUUUCCACCUUUGGCAGAAUAUCGUGUUUAUGUUUAGAAAUUGUCCUUUAAUAAAUGAAAACAUUAGGAAAAUCCUCAUAUUUAUUACGACAGUGGCCUUGCUUCAGUGGAAGUGCAGAAGAAACUCCUUUAGAAAUAUCUCAGAUUCCUCCACAUUUUAGAAUACUUACACUGGUUUGAAUAAAAUUUCAUACGGAGUAGAAGAUAAAGCAGAUAGGGUACAAAAUUUCUUAACAAAUUAUUUUGAGCUUAUUAGAAAGAUAAGAUGGUGCCAGCGAACUACGAUUACUCAGGUGACAUCUUCAAUUUAUUUCAAUUAUUUCACUUUCUCUGUGCCUUUUACUUGUUCUUUUUAUCUUAAUUGUGUUUUGGUAGCUGUUGGAGCCUUUGACUUACAGUUUGGAAUUCAAUCGAGUGAUCUGGCAUUAAGCUGUCCCCAAGAAAAUUCCAGGAGACAAUCAAGAGCAUGAGCUGUCCCAAACAGGAGAUCAGAGAUGGGGCACAGGGCCAUGAUUGACUCCAUUUCUUGCCGAUCGAAGCAUUGAGACGAUUGUGGAGGAGGCCGAGUUGGUAGUUGCUCUUCAUGGGUUGGCCCAGAGUUUGUGAGGCUGUGUCUUGCUGGAAGUUGCUCACCACGAGAGACUGCAUCAGGCCAGAGGUUGCUGUCCAUGAGAGGCUGUGUCAGACCAGAAGUCACUCCCCAUGGGAGGCCGUGUUGGGCCAGGGGUCGGAGGCCAUUUCUCAGCGGAUGAACGCCCCACAUAAGGACUGAGUUUGAGCUCUUGCUCUCCUCAAUGCUGACAGAAGAUAUUUUCAAAAUUCUGAGAUGCAAUGCCUAAAAAAAUUUCCCUCCCCCCAGAAGUUUUCAUCUUUUAUUGUUUUAUAACAUUGAAUCACAGUGGAUUUAAUUUGGCUUCUUUAACACUGAUCAACAGCAAAAGAUUCUUUAGUGUCAAAGUGAAAACUGACCUCUACAAAAUGACCUACUGCAAAGGGUGAUGUAUUUCUGGGUUUAAGAUGGUAUUGAUAGGUUUAUGAAAUGCUCGGUUGUAGCUGAAGCCAAAGAUUGAAUUCCAGAGCUUGGUGAGUCCGGGGGUAGAAAGCCUGAAGUAGAAGGCUGAAGUUGGCAAGUGCGGAGUUAGAGACCUAAAGGUCAAGUCUGCAAGUCCAGGGCCAAGGACUGGAGACCUGGAGGUUGCCUGUCUGUGUGUGUAUAAGGCAGAAGAUGGGUGGGAAAGAAUUAGUUAUUUUGUUAUGUUGUUGUUGCUUGUGUUAUUCUGAUGAACAUUGUGGGCAUACUAUGAUGGCGACAGAAUGUAUAGCGAGAUUUGCGAGCUGCCCCCAACACAUCCUCGGGUGUGUUGGUUGUUAAAUGACGUAGUUCACUGUAUUUUUCAAUAACGUGAUAAAUAAAUUUGAAUUUGAAUAGCUCAUA